rnacentral:rRNA from 1 species
CGGACGGACCUCUGGUGUGCCAGUUGUCCCGCCAGGGGCACGGCUGGUUGGCUACGUCCGGUAGGGAUAACCGCUGAAAGCAUCUAAGCGGGAAGCCUUCCUCGAGAUGAGUUCUCCCACCCCGUCAAGGGGUGUAAGGCCCCCGGGAGACGACCGGGUUGAUAGGCCGGGGAUGGAAGCAUCGUAAGGUGUGGAGUCGACCGGUACUAAUAGGCCGAGUGGCUUGAACACACA